UCAUAUGUUUUAAUUUUUCAUCUUAAAGAUAACAAAUCUGUGAUUAUACAUUGUGUUUGAUUGAAUACGUUGUGCGGGCCUUGUGCGUCCCCAAUGAAGCGUUCGCAAUGAAUAGUAGCAAUGGUAAAUGCUAGUCAUGAAGAUGAAAUCAGGACAAAUGGAAGUGAGAAAAGAAAAGUAACGCUGGGCGUGAACGGUGGUCUAAGGCAGAAAAGUCACUAGUAUGUCAUUAUUUUAAGGAUCAUAUUCAGAAGAAAAUUGCGCCCAAAACAGGCGAGUGUGCAGAAUGCAUCCCUAAAUAUAAGGACUUUCCAAAGAAUAAAGACUGGCUGAAAAUAAAGACUUUAGUGUAUAAUACUUUUAGAGCAAAAUGACCCAUUUUACCAUUUUUCAUUUUAAAUUAGAAAUGUUUAUUAGUUUAACCGAAUGCAUUUUUCUUUAAUAGUUAUAUAAUAAGAUAUUUUACUUUUUCUUUA